rnacentral:tRNA from 1 species
GGAUGUGGCUCAAGCGGUAGCGCGCUUGCCUGACAUGCAUGCGCCCUGGGUUCAAUCCUCAGCACCA